rnacentral:tRNA from 1 species
GUUGUGGCUCAGGGGUAGAGCGUAUGUCUAGCAUGUUCAAGGCAUUGGGUUCGAUCCUCAGCACCACA